UACAGAGGUCUCAAGCGUUGUUCGGAUUCAUUGGGCGUAAAGGGUGCGUAGGCGGCGCGGUAAGUCGGGUGUGAAAUCUCGGAGCUUAACUCCGAAACUGCAUUCGAUACUGCCGUGCUUGAGGACUGGAGAGGAGACUGGAAUUUACGGUGUAACGGUGAAAUGCGUAGAUAUCGUAAGGAAGACCAGUGGCGAAGGCGGGUCUCUGGACAGUUCCUGACGCUGAGGCACGAAGGUCAGGGGGAGCAAACGGG
rnacentral:rRNA from 1 species